rnacentral:rRNA from 1 species
AUACGGAGGGGGCUAGCGUUGUUCGGAAUUACUGGGCGUAAAGGGCGCGUAGGCGGUCUAUCAAGUCAGGUGUGAAAUCCCACGGCUCAACCGUGGAGGUGCAUCUGAAACUGAUAGACUUGAGUAUGGGAGAGGAAAGUGGAAUUCCCGGUGUAGAGGUGAAAUUCGUAGAUAUCGGGAGGAACACCAGUGGCGAAGGCGACUUUCUGGACCAAUACUGACGCUGAGGCGCGAAAGCGUGGGGAGCAAACAGGAUUAGAAACCCCGGUAGUCC